CGCCGCGGUAAUACGGAGGGUGCAAGCGUUAAUCGGAAUUACUGGGCGUAAAGCGCACGCAGGCGGUCUGUCAAGUCAGAUGUGAAAUCCCCGGGCUUAACCUGGGAACUGCAUUUGAAACUGGCAGGCUAGAGUCUUGUAGAGGGGGGUAGAAUUCCAGGUGUAGCGGUGAAAUGCGUAGAGAUCUGGAGGAAUACCGGUGGCGAAGGCGGCCCCCUGGACAAAGACUGACGCUCAGGUGCGAAAGCGUGGGGAGCAAACAGGAUUAGAUACCCUGGUAGUCCACGCCGUAAACGAUGUCGACUUGGAGGUUGUGCCCUUGAGGCGUGGCUUCCGGAGCUAACGCGUUAAGUCGACCGCCUGGGGAGUACGGCCGCAAGGUUAAAACUCAAAUGAAUUGACGGA
rnacentral:rRNA from 1 species